AUUGAACGCUGGCGGCAGGCUUAACACAUGCAAGUCGAGCGGGGGAGGUUGCUUCGGUAACUGACCUAGCGGCGGACGGGUGAGUAAUGCUUAGGAAUCUGCCUAUUAGUGGGGGACAACAUUCCGAAAGGGAUGCUAAUACCGCAUACGACCUACGGGGGAAAGCAGGGGAUCUUCGGACCUUGCGCUAAUAGAUGAGCCUGAGUCGGAUUAGCUAGUUGGUGGGGUAAAGGCCCACCAAGGCGACGAUCUGUAGCGGGUCUGAGAGGAUGAUCCGCCACACUGGGACUGAGACACGGCCCAGACUCCUACGGGAGGCAGCAGUGGGGAAUAUUGGACAAUGGGCGGAAGCCUGAUCCAGCCAUGCCGCGUGUGUGAAGAAGGCCUUUUGGUUGUAAAGCACUUUAAGCGAGGAGGAGGCUCUUAAGGUUAAUACCCUUGAUGAGUGGACGUUACUCGCAGAAUAAGCACCGGCUAACUCUGUGCCAGCCGCCGCCGUAAUAC
rnacentral:rRNA from 1 species